ACCUGAAUCUCCUGGUGAUCUUAUUAAAAUACUGAAGAUUCAGAUUCAGUAAAUCUAUGAUUGGGACAUGAGAUUCUGGAUUUCUGAUAAACUUCCAAGAGAUGACAAA
rnacentral:pre_miRNA from 1 species